rnacentral:rRNA from 1 species
UUCGGAAUCUUGAGAGCGGCGCACGGGUGCGGAACACGUGUGCAACCUGCCUUUAUCUGGGGGAUAGCCUUUCGAAAGGAAGAUUAAUACCCCAUAAUAUAUUGAGUGGCAUCACUUGAUAUUGAAAACUCCGGUGGAUAGAGAUGGGCACGCGCAAGAUUAGAUAGUUGGUGAGGUAACGGCUCACCAAGUCAAUGAUCUUUAGGGGGCCUGAGAGGGUGAUCCCCCACACUGGUACUGAGACACGGACCAGACUCCUACGGGAGGCAGCAGUGAGGAAUAUUGGACAAUGGGUGAGAGCCUGAUCCAGCCAUCCCGCGUGAAGGACGACUGCCCUAUGGGUUGUAAACUUCUUUUAUACUGGGAUAAACCUACCCUUCGUGAGGGUAGCUGAAGGUACAGUAUGAAUAAGCACCGGCUAACUCCGUGCCAGCAGCCGCGGUAAUACGGAGGGUGCAAGCGUUAUCCGGAUUUAUUGGGUUUAAAGGGUCCGUAGGCGGACUCGUAAGUCAGUGGUGAAAUCUCAUAGCUUAACUAUGAAACUGCCAUUGAUACUGCGGGUCUUGAGUAAAGUAGAAGUGGCUGGAAUAAGUAGUGUAGCGGUGAAAUGCAUAGAUAUUACUUAGAACACCAAUUGCGAAGGCAGGUCACUAUGUUUUAACUGACGCUGAUGGACGAAAGCGUGGGGAGCGAACAGGAUUAGAUACCCUGGUAGUCCACGCCGUAAACGAUGCUAACUCGUUUUUGGGUUUUCGGAUUCAGAGACUAAGCGAAAGUGAUAAGUUAGCCACCUGGGGAGUACGUUCGCAAGAAUGAAACUCAAAGGAAUUGACGGGGGCCCGCACAAGCGGUGGAUUAUGUGGUUUAAUUCGAUGAUACGCGAGGAACCUUACCAAGGCUUAAAUGGGAAUUGACAGGUUUAGAAAUAGAUCCUUCUUCGGACAAUUUUCAAGGUGCUGCAUGGUUGUCGUCAGCUCGUGCCGUGAGGUGUUAGGUUAAGUCCUGCAACGAGCGCAACCCCUGUCACUAGUUGCCAUCAUUCAGUUGGGGACUCUAGUGAGACUGCCUACGCAAGUAGAGAGGAAGGUGGGGAUGACGUCAAAUCAUCACGGCCCUUACGCCUUGGGCCACACACGUAAUACAAUGGCCGGUACAGAGGGCAGCUACUAUGCGAAUAGAUGCGAAUCUCGAAAGCCGGUCUCAGUUCGGAUUGGAGUCUGCAACUCGA